rnacentral:misc_RNA from 1 species
UUAAGUUCAGCGGGUAGCCCUACCUGAUUUGAGGUCAAUGUCAAAAGAUAUGGUGGGUUGUGAGCAGCGCCACAAGACCAGCCACAACGAAACUUAUUACGUCAAGCAUGGGUCAAGGGACAUCCACUUAGUCAUUUGAGGUGAGCCAGGGGAGGCAGGCACCCAACUCCAAGUCCAAUGACGGUCAGAAACCAUCAAGG